CUUCCUGGUCUUAUCUUCCUCAAGCUUACUACGCAUGAACAAGGCCAGGAAGUGGACACACCACGUGGUGGGGUAUCUGGUGACACUCUAUAAAAAAUAUAUAUAUUUGGUAUAACAACUCAAGAACCACAACAGGUUUCUGUGUUGAUUGACAAAGAAAACUCUCUGAAAAGUACAAAUCUACUGGUUCACGUUUAGGUUGAAAGAAAGGAUACAGUAAUAUAAAUCUAAUAAGUUAUGUCUAAUAUACAGUUUUUUUUAUAAAGCCAUGAUACUGUACAACCCACCUCUAUAUAGGUAACAAGCUCCUGUGAGGAAAGAUUGUCAUGUGCUUUAGACUUGUUCCAGAAAACACUACAACAAAGCAAUGAAAAUGAAAAUAAUCCGCAGUAAAUGACCAUGCUGUUGCGGCUACCCCACCUAUUGUGGCGAAGCUAA